rnacentral:rRNA from 1 species
AACGAACGCCGGCGGCGCGCCUAAUACAUGCAAGUCGAGCGAGAAGGUGUAGCAAUACACUUGUAAAGCGGCGAACGGGUGAGGAAUGCAUGGGUAACCUACCCUCGAGUGGGGAAUAACUAGCCGAAAGGUUAGCUAAUACCGCAUACGUUUCCGGAACUUCGGUUUCGGAAAGAAAGCAAUACCGUGGGUAUUGCGCUCCUGGAUGGGCUCAUGUCCUAUCAGCUUGUUGGUGAGGUAACGGCUCACCAAGGCUUCGACGGGUAGCUGGUCUGAGAGGACGAUCAGCCACACUGGCACUGCGACACGGGCCAGACUCCUACGGGAGGCAGCAGUAAGGAAUAUUGCGCAAUGGACGAAAGUCUGACGCAGCGACGCCGCGUGGGGGGAUGAAGGUCUUCGGGAUUGUAAACCCCUUUCGGGAGGGAAGAUGGAGUGGGUAACCGACUUGGACGGUACCUCCAGAAGCAGCCACGGCUAACUUCGUGCCAGCAGCCGCGGUAAU